AAACUACAGAUGAAAGAACACAGUUGGUGGAAAUUUAUCACCCAGGAGAAAUGUGACAAGGGAGGCUCCCCCUAGCCUAUUUGUGGAUUUGUUUAUACUCCCUCUGGUGGCUGAUUCAGACCUGCAUGUUCUGUCCCUUUGACCUGAGAAGCAACCACACCCUACCUGAUUCCAGAAGCCCUGAGUACUGGGAUUGUGGCCAUGUCCGCAUGAGCAAAGGUGAGAAGACUACAGCUGUCACCGGGAAGAAAGAGCCUGCCUAAAAAUCAGAGGGCAACGAAACUGAAAGGAAAGACACAGAAGUCUAAUGGCAUCAACUGAGUGCCUGGGCCCAGCUAUUCCUGAUGAUUUACUCCUGGAGUUUCCGACUUUAUACACCGACACAUUCUCUUUUUUCUUAAGUUAUUUAGACGCGGUUUUCAAGUCACUUGUGACUUCAAAACUCCUGACUUUUACAAGUUCCUGCUUGCCUCUAGUCCAGCCCCGACAUUGUACUCCUGUCUUCAACUGUGUGUACCCUAAGUCCUUGCCUUAAUUUUCUACCUAUUUCUCUUGUGCUUCCAAGUCUGUAGCCUUAUCUUUAGGGCCAGCCUAUCCCUUCCCUCUUUCUAGAAAUCAAAUAGGAGGCAACAGCACCUUUCAGAAAACAAGAAUGGAAUCUCAAAGUCCCAACCUCUUUAUACUUUUCCCAUGAUCAGUCUGCAACAUUAAGACAAGGGAAAGUUUGAGCAAGGCAAAUGGCAUGAUCUGGACGUGGCAGGAAAAAAAUGGGACAGACUCCGUUCCAGUGCUUUGAAAAUCUGUUGGUUGUAAGAUCUGGAGAAGGAACUCAAGUUCCAAUAAAUGUCACUGAACAAAUUGUACGAUGUAUGGAGCUGCCUAAUGUUUCAUCUGUUUGGAUGAAAUGGUUGUCUUUAAAUAAGCUAGGUGCAAAGUUUCUAAUAACCACUGUUUUUCAGCAUGUCUCAGAGCUCAUGUUGUUAAUCAAGCAAGGUUAGCUUAUUUUUAUUGAGUAAAGGAUGUGUUAAGAAAGGAAUGGUUUUGCAUUUUAAGCAAAAUGGAUGAAUAAUGAAUGAAUUUUAAGUAAAUAAAUAAAACCUUUAAGUGACUGUUUCUCUUUCAGAGAAGUCAUUGAUGGAAGCUAUGUACUGAUUAUGAUGAUGCUGUCAUUACUCUCAACAUUCCUUCAAUUCCUACUGUGAAAGGCAACCCUCUUUAGGUUGUACAAAUUCUAGUUUGGUGGCUAAUUAAGCCAUGAUACUAGUUUGAGAUUUUUUAAAAUCUUCAUUCUCAUCUCUCCCUCUCCUAGUGUUUGAGGACUGAUCAUUCCUGAUCUUAGUAACAGAGUAAUUCAUGUUGGCAGGUGUCAUUUAAGCCCUCGUAGCUUGUAACUUCCUGACACAAUUUGGAGUUAGCCCAUUCUGGCAUUCUCCUGCUGGAUAUCACCUACAUUCUUAAAUCUUAAUGAUGUAAAAUUAUUCUACAUUUUUAAUGAUCCGUUGGAGCUGUUUCCUCCAAACCAUUAGCAAUACAAGAGGUAUAUAGGAAUUUGACUUAUUUACAAACUCUGUACUAUUCUUUCUAAACAGUUUCCAAGGAAUACAAAUGCACUACAUAUUGGUUACUAAAAACUGUUUGGGAAUUGGAUUCUUUAAAUAUUAUGAAGAAAUAGCUGAUUUUCUGCAAGUUUGACUUUUUCUCAAAAUGAAAGCAUGUGCACACACACACAGAGGUGCAAAAGCUCCCCAUCAGACAGAUGCAAGGCACCACUCCAUUAAGGCAGGCAGUGACUUGCUAAUGAUCUAUAUCAGCCCUCACCUAUAUGGUACCUACUAGCCACAUUUGUGACUAUCUAAAUUUAAGCUUACAUGAAUUCAAAUUGAAUACAAUUGAAAAUUCACUUCCUCAGCCUCACUAGGCACAUUU
rnacentral:lncRNA from 1 species